AGUGAACGCUGGCGGUAGGCCUAACACAUGCAAGUCGAACGGCAGCACAGUAAGAGCUUGCUCUUACGGGUGGCGAGUGGCGGACGGGUGAGGAAUACAUCGGAAUCUACUUUUUCGUGGGGGAUAACGUAGGGAAACUUACGCUAAUACCGCAUACGACCUACGGGUGAAAGCAGGGGAUCUUCGGACCUUGCGCGAUUGAAUGAGCCGAUGUCGGAUUAGCUAGUUGGCGGGGUAAAGGCCCACCAAGGCGACGAUCCGUAGCUGGUCUGAGAGGAUGAUCAGCCACACUGGAACUGAGACACGGUCCAGACUCCUACGGGAGGCAGCAGUGGGGAAUAUUGGACAUUGGGCGCAAGCCUGAUCCAGCCAUACCGCGUGGGUGAAGAAGGCCUUCGGGUUGUAAAGCCCUUUUGUUGGGAAAGAAAAGCAGCAGGUUAAUACCCCGCUGUUCUGACGGUACCCAAAGAAUAAGCACCGGCUAACUUCGUG
rnacentral:rRNA from 1 species